GGGCUUCUGGCUGUGAUUGGCCCACCCGGUCCCAUGUGACGCAAUUACGUCACACCUCGGGUUAGGACGGCCUAUUUAAACGGAGCUCUGCAACACACUUUGUGCAGGGCGCCGAUGGGUUAUGUGCUCAGUGAGGACUCGCAUCAUAUUUGCUUCAUAGUUCUCCUUCGGACUAAAUAGCUGAUCUUUUUCUGGCAUCAGAUAUAUUUACUAUACCACGCUAUGUGAGUCUGUGACAUUACUUCUGAUCUUUGUACAGAUGGCUUGCAGAUCCGAUCCACUGGGUGAUACUGGGAGACAAAGUCCUAAUAAAACAACUCGCAGUAAGGAAACAUAAAGGACCCGUUUACACCGGCCCACGCGAAGUAGAAAAAAGGUCUCCAGAACGGCUGUACUUGCUUCCCAGGGACCACAAUGGAUCUGUGCAUCCCUGAUGAAGACGACCCCCCCUUUUUCCCCUUCCAACUUCAGAGGCACCGACAGAAGAGCAGAAAAGGAGGGACCAACAAGCCGCACAACUGGAGGACUUAAUCCAAGGAUUGGAACAGGUCACAGUGCAACUACCUUGAACAUUGUCAAAGACUGGCCCCCAAUUUGCUCCCCCGUUUCGGUCCCAGACCACGUCCAACUCCACAUUGGCCCAAGUUGUAAAAUAUUUUUCUUUGUCACCGAUUGUUACAUGUUGUGUUCUCCUUAUUGCAACCCCAGGAAAAUGAUAUUGAUUUGCGCUUUUGUUAUAUAUCUGGUUGCUAAAAUAACCCUUUGCGCUAUUGGAAAAUUAACUAAACCCUGUGUGAAAAGGGGUGAGAAUGUCUGAAUGGCAAUGUUGACCAUAGAGCAGAAAUGGUAUAAUGAGUGAUUGCGUAGGCUACAGCCUAUGCAAUAAAAGGAGGGAUUGAAAGGCGGUUAGAGUUCCCCCAUAGAUAUCAAUGCAUUGAUAGGCUAUAGUUCCCCUAUACUAAUAAUGCAUUAUAAGGCUUGUUCGAGUUCACCCUUAGUGAUUAAUGCUUGUAUGAAAAUGUACCCUUGAGCUUCUAGGAGAAGCCAGGAACCUUGGCAAUAUUAUUGUUAUUAUGUCCUAGGCAAGCAUAAACAUUAGAUAAGCUGCAGUAGAAACAUUAUGUCCUAGGCAAGCAUAAACAUUAGAUAAGCUGCAGUAUAAACAAGAUAUCUGUCGGGCACAAAGAAGAUUGCUAUAUUUUAUGCACAGUGUAUAAUUGUGACGAAUAUUACUUAUAUAACCUAAUAACUUAGAUAUGAUUGGC